rnacentral:tRNA from 1 species
CAAAAUGUAGCUUAAACAAAGCAUCUCGCUUACACCGAGAAAAUGCCUGAUAGCCCCAGGCCAUUUUGAG